GACGAACGCUGGCGGCGUGCCUAACACAUGCAAGUCGAGCGAGUGAAUCUCCUUCGGGAGUGAAGCUAGCGGCGGACGGGUGAGUAACACGUGGGCAACCUGCCUCAUAGAGGGGAAUAGCCUUUCGAAAGGAAGAUUAAUACCGCAUAAGAUUGUAGCUUCGCAUGAAGUAGCAAUUAAAGGAGCAAUCCGCUAUGAGAUGGGCCCGCGGCGCAUUAGCUAGUUGGUGAGGUAACGGCUCACCAAGGCGACGAUGCGUAGCCGAGCUGAGAGGGUGAUCGGCCACAUUGGGACUGAGACCCGGACCAGACUCCUACGGGAGGCAGCAGUGGGGAAUAUUGCACAAUGGGGGAAACCCUGAUGCAGCAACGCCGCGUGAGUGAUGACGGCCUUCGGGUUGGAAAGCUCUGUCUUCAGGGACGAUAAUGACGGUACCUGAGGAGGAAGCCACGGCUAACUACGUGCCAGCCGCCGCCGUAA
rnacentral:rRNA from 1 species